UACGGGGGGGGGCAAGCGUUGUUCGGAAUUACUGGGCGUAAAGGGCUCGUAGGCGGCCAACUAAGUCAGACGUGAAAUCCCUCGGCUUAACCGGGGAACUGCAUCUGAUACUGGAUGGCUUGAGUUCGGGAGAGGGAUGCGGAAUUCCAGGUGUAGCGGUGAAAUGCGUAGAUAUCGUGAGGAAGACCAGUGGCGAAGGCGGGGUCUCUGGACAGUUCCUGACACUGAGGCACGAAGGCCAGGGGAGCAAACGGG
rnacentral:rRNA from 1 species